AUAACCACAUCCGUCACCCCAAUUAUUUUGGCUUGGAACUCAAUAAAAUAUGGCGUGACCGUUGGAUCCAAUCGGGUUUUUCAAUUAGCUGUGUGGUUUUGUUAUUGUGGCGAUUCAGAAGAUAAGAUUCAUGAAAAGAUUGAACACACUAACUUAGCGUGAGAAAAACUUGGCAAUCUUGGUAAAGGAGGACUCCUGACCCAAUCAAGAAAGUCGACUUAAUGCGCACUCAAAGGGGAAUUAGCGCAGACUCAAAAUUUCAAAUGGAAAAACUUUGGACGCCACCGAGGGACACAUUCGGAUUAAUUAAAGACAAGUGUAAUCCCUUUA